UGUCCUACGGGUGGCUGCAGUGGGGAAUCUUCCGCAAUGGACGAAAGUCUGACGGAGCAACGCCGCGUGUAUGAAGAAGGCCUUCGGGUUGUAAAAUACUGUUGUCAGGGAAGAACCGUAUAAGUGUAAAUAAUGCUUAUACCUGACGGUACCUGACGAGGAAGCCCCGGCUAACUACGUGCCAGCAGCCGCGGUAAUACGUAGGGGGCAAGCGUUGUCCGGAAUUAUUGGGCGUAAAGGGCGCGUAGGCGGCUGUAUAAGUCUGAUGUGAAAGUGCGGAGCUUAACUCCGUAAAGCAUUGGAAACUGUACGGCUUGAGGACAGGAGAGGAAAGUGGAAUUCCACGUGUAGCGGUGAAAUGCGUAGAUAUGUGGAGGAACACCAGUGGCGAAGGCGACUUUCUGGACUGUAACUGACGCUGAGGCGCGAAAGCGUGGGGAGCGAACAGGAUUAGAUACCCCUGUAGUC
rnacentral:rRNA from 1 species